AUCGGAUUUAUUAGUAAGAAAUGGCACUAACCACAGUCGUUAGGGGAUCCAAGGCCUAAGUUGAUUAUAUCUUAUUUCUUGGAUUACUUUGAGAUAGGUCAUUCCAACCCAGAAUCAGAACAAGGAAACAUGGACAAGUCCAGAGUAGCAUGUGAAUCCCAAGCCAAAGCAUUCUUUUCGGGCGAUGGCGCCAGAGUCAAAUCAAGAAAGCCCAGUUGGAAAGAGAAGAUUGGAGGCGUGAUUUGGAAGGCGUUGAAUUUGCACAUGAGGAAGCAGAAAGCAGGCGCCGGAGGAGAAAUGGUUGGUAGAGCCGCGAGUUCGCAGAUGGAAAUAAAGAGAAGAGAGGGGCGUGCAGUCAAGCUGAGACCGCGCCACCAUGGAAGAAGAUAUACAUGUGCUUCUGUAGGAGUAGCAGAAAACUUCAGGACAAGGAGGAUGGAAGAAUGGGAAUCACAACUGCAUCAGUACAAUCUCCUGUCAUGGUAAGGCUCAGUUGGAUAAGGAACAGUAGUGUAGUUUUGUGGCUGCCUCCCUAGGGUCAAGGAAAAACUUUUCGAGGAAUUUGAGGGGGGUUUUCUUGGGCUUUCUGUUACGAAGCGUCGAUCUAACAAAACAGACUAUGCCAAUGUAUCCCGUUCAGAAUUUGAUAUGUUUCUAAUAAAAUUACCAGCCGCCAAUUCCUGAUGCGGAA